UUUCCUGUGUGACAGGGCGCAGGGGGCGCGGGAUUGUGCCAGCAGCCGCGGUAAUACAGAGGGUGCAAGCGUUAAUCAGAAUUACUGGGCGUAAAGCGAGCGUAGGUGGCUUGAUAAGUCAGAUGUGAAAUCCCCGGGCUUAACCUGGGAACUGCAUCUGAUACUGUUGGGCUAGAGUAGGUGAGAGGGAGGUAGAAUUUCAGGUGUAGCGGUGAAAUGCGUAGAGAUCUGAAGGAAUACCGAUGGCGAAGGCAGCCUCCUGGCAUCAUACUGACACUGAGGUUCGAAAGCGUGGGUAGCAAACAGGAUUAGAUACCCUGGUAGUCCACGCCGUAAACGAUGUCUACUAGUCGUUGGGGAACUUGAUUCCUUAGUGACGCAGCUAACGCAAUAAGUAGACCGCCUGGGGAGUACGGCCGCAAGGUUAAAACUCAAAUGAAUUGACGGGGGCCCGCACAAGCGGUGGAGCAUGUGGUUUAAUUCGAUGCAACGCGAAGAACCUUACCUGGUCUUGACAUAUCUAGAAUCCUGCAGAGAUGCGGGAGUGCCUUCGGGAAUUAGAAUACAGGUGCUGCAUGGCUGUCGUCAGCUCGUGUCGUGAGAUGUUGGGUUAAGUCCCGCAACGAGCGCAACCCUUUUCCUUAGUUACCAGCGGUUUGGCCGGGGACUCUAAGGAUACUGCCAGUGACAAACUGGAGGAAGGCGGGGACGACGUCAAGUCAUCAUGGCCCUUACGACCAGGGCUACACACGUGCUACAAUGGUAGGUACAGAGGGCAGCUACACAGCGAUGUGAUGCGAAUCUCAAAAAGCCUAUCGUAGUCCAGAUUGGAGUCUGCAACUCGACUCCAUGAAGUAGGAAUCGCUAGUAAUCGCGGAUCAGAAUGCCGCGGUGAAUACGUUCCCGGGCCUUGUACACACCGCCCGUCACACCAUGGGAGUUGAUUGCACCAGAAGUGGUUAGCCUAACCUUUUAGGAAGGCGAUCACCACGGUGUGGUUGAUGACUGGGGUGAAGUCG
rnacentral:rRNA from 1 species